rnacentral:rRNA from 1 species
AGCGAACGCUGGCGGCAGGCCUAACACAUGCAAGUCGAACGGAUCCUUCGGGAUUAGUGGCGGACGGGUGAGUAACACGUGGGAACGUGCCCUUUGGUUCGGAACAACUCAGGGAAACUUGAGCUAAUACCGGAUGUGCCCUUCGGGGGAAAGAUUUAUCGCCAUUGGAGCGGCCCGCGUCUGAUUAGCUAGUUGGUGAGGUAACGGCCCACCAAGGCGACGAUCAGUAGCUGGUCUGAGAGGAUGAUCAGCCACACUGGGACUGAGACACGGCCCAGACUCCUACGGGAGGCGGCAGUGGGGAAUCUUGCGCAACGGGCGAAAGCCUGACGCAGCCAUGCCGCGUGAAUGAUGAAGGUCUUAGGAUUGUAAAAUUCUUUCAGCGGGGACGAUAAUGACGGUACCCGCAGAAGAAGCUCCGGCUAACUUCGUG